rnacentral:rRNA from 1 species
AGGACGAACGCUGGCGGCGUGCUUAAGACAUGCAAGUCGUACGAGAAAGUCUCUUCGGAGGUGAGUAAAGUGGCGCACGGGUGAGUAACGCGUGGGUAAUCUGCCCUUAGGUUUGGGAUAACCCCGGGAAACCGGAGCUAAUACCGAAUAAGACCACGAUGACUUCGGUCGAUGUGGCAAAAGAUGGCCUCUUCUUGAAAGCUAUCGCCAAUGGAUGAGCCCGCGUUUGAUUAGUUUGUUGGUGAGGUAACGGCUCACCAAGACUACGAUCAAUAGCUGGUCUGAGAGGACGAUCAGCCACACUGGAACUGAGACACGGUCCAGACUCCUACGGGAGGCAGCAGUCGGGAAUAUUGGGCAAUGGGCGAAAGCCUGACCCAGCAACGCCGCGUGAAGGAUGAAGGCCUUCGGGUCGUAAACUUCUGUCGAGAGGGAAGAACGCGUGCGGGUGAAUAAUCCGUACGUCUGACGGUACCUCCAAAGGAAGCACCGGCUAACUCCGUGCCAGCAGCCGCGGUAAUACGGAGGGUGCAAGCGUUGUUCGGAUUUAUUGGGCGUAAAGCGAGUGUAGGCGGUUUGACAAGUCGGAUGUGAAAUCCCAGGGCCCAACCCUGGAACUGCAUCCGAUACUGUCAGGCUAGAGUCCCGGAGAGGGUGGCGGAAUUCCCGGUGUAGGGGUGAAAUCCGUAGAUAUCGGGAGGAACACCAGUGGCGAAGGCGGCCACCUGGACGGUGACUGACGCUCAGACUCGAAAGCGUGGGUAGCAAACAGGAUUAGAUACCCUGGUAGUCCACGCCGUAAACGGUGAGAGCUCGUCGUAGUGGGUAUUGACCCCUGCUGUGACCAAGUUAACGCAUGAAGCUCUCCGCCUGGGAAGUACGGUCUCAAGACUA